UCAAUUGAAUAAGGAAAGCAGGGAGGUCAUGGACCUUAAAGAACAAAUCGAGAGCCUGAAGAAACAGUUGGCAGAGAAGGACCCGCAAAGUGCGCAACAAGUCAACAAACUUGAACCGAGAUCGCCGUUACCACGAGCAAAAGCAGCAGCUCUUAUGAUAGACAGAACUCCCAAGACUCCAUGAUCGCCAUUACCGCGACCAGAAGCAGCAGUAGCAACGAUGGAUAGAACUCUGCCAAAUUCUGCUUCAAAAAGCUGACAGAACAGUAAUAUGACUUUAAAACUGGAGUCAGGUGAGAUUAGAGAAUACGGGCUUGCUUCGUUGGUGCAAACGCCGGCUGAGUUGUUGAAAGAUAGGCUUCCUGAAGCGAGAGAGGCGGCUGAGUUAUGGAGGAUGGGGAGAAUGAAGAAGAAGAUAAGUAGCAAAACUUUUGCCAGUUAAAUUUGCCAGCCAUUGACGCGUUGACCAUGGUUUAUGCAGGUUUUCAUCGCUUGUGGAUAUUAGAGUUGUUGAUCAAGUUAUCUAAUGAACUGAUGUUGGUAAGGGUGCAAACGAGCCAAGCUACUCGCGAGCUUCGGACAUAAUCACCGCUUUAUCACAGAAGAACUCAUACAUUCCAUACAGAAACAGCAAGCUCACACUACUCCUUCAGAACUCAUUAGGUGGAAACGCGAAGACCUUGAGGUUUGCUCAUGUGAGCCCAGAAGGUGAUUCUUCUGGGGAAACGGUUUGUAGGUUGAAGUUUGCUCAACACGCUUCAACCGUCGAACUUGGUGCGGCUCAAUUGAAUAAGGAAAGCAGGGAGGUCAUGGACCUUAAAGAACAAAUCGAGAGCCUGAAGAAACAGUUGGCAGAGAAGGACCCGCAAAGUGCGCAACAAGUCAACAAACUUGAACCGAGAUCGCCGUUACCACGAGCAAAAGCAGCAGCUCUUAUGAUAGACAGAACUCCCAAGACUCCAUGAUCGCCAUUACCGCGACCAGAAGCAGCAGUAGCAACGAUGGAUAGAACUCUGCCAAAUUCUGCUUCAAAAAGCUGACAGAACAAUCCCUCAACAACUUUCUGGUUUCAUAGAUAUUGGCAAGAUCAAUCCAGAUGCUUGGCCUGCACUCAUAGCAUAUUUAUCAGCAGGUGAAAAUGGAAUCGUAAGCCUUGCAUUUGGAACGACUGAACAAAACAUGUUGGAGCUGAUUCAUUGGCAUUGGCGAAGGGAUCCAGUUUGUGAGGUGCGGUGUCUUGGCGUUCCGACUGUCGACAUGCGAAAAAGGAUAAGGCCUAUCACAAAAUUAGUGAGCUGAGGAAUAAACGUGAAGAAGAGCUGUAAAGCAACAUUUUACUGUUUUGUGAAAGAGAGCAUGCUUGCUUCAGUCUCUACAAAUACUUCAUCAAGCUCAACACUAUACAAUCACUCAACUCAGACGAAUUAAACUUUCAAAUUAAUAUAUUGACUCUUUGCAUCUGGAUCUUGCGUUGUUCCUCGGCUCUCACAUCAAGGUUUCACAUUUUUUGUUGGCUUUUUACAUCUGCCUCUUGCAUUAUUGUAAGUUCUUCCAAAUUUCUUGGUUUUUUGAUCUGUAUUGUUUAACUGCCUCUUUGUUUUUUUGGGCUGUUGAUAUGUACC